CAUAAUUUAUCCUAAAAAUAAUUCGUAAGAAAAAAGGUUCGUGAUACAUGGCGGGGUCACGCUUCCUCUAGCUUGCUCUACUACCAUACACGCGGUCAUUUGAAUUUGGAAAAUUUUUGACAGUUAUGUCAUACAAACGAUGCGAUAGAUAUUGCUACAUCUGUAAAAUUAGAAUACAGUGGUAGACGAAAGGCCGAUAACCGCUAGAGACAGGACUGAGCGUUUGGACC